rnacentral:rRNA from 1 species
UACGAAGGGGGCAAGCGUUGUUCGGAUUUACUGGGCGUAAAGGGCGCGUAGGCGGAAGCGUAAGUCAGAGGUGAAAGCCCUGGGCUCAACCCGGGAAUUGCCUUUGAGACUGCGUUUCUUGAGUGUGGGAGAGGGUGGCGGAAUACCCAGUGUAGAGGUGAAAUUCGUAGAUAUUGGGUAGAACACCAGUGGCGAAGGCGGCCACCUGGCCCAUAACUGACGCUGAGGCGCGAAAGCGUGGGGAGCAAAC